rnacentral:rRNA from 1 species
AACGAACGCUGGCGGCAUGCCUAACACAUGCAAGUCGAACGCGAAAGGGACUUCGGUCCUGAGUAAAGUGGCGCACGGGUGAGUAACGCGUAGAUAACCUGUCUUCAUGUCUGGAAUAAUACACCGAAAGGGGUACUAAUACCGGAUAAUCUUGCUUUUCAUAAGUUUUGCAAGCAAAGGUGGCCUCUGACUUAAGCUACUGCAUGAAGAGGGGUCUGCGUACCAUUAGCUAGUAGGUGGGGUAAAGGCCUACCUAGGCAACGAUGGUUAGCGGGUCUGAGAGGAUGAUCCGCCACACUGGCACUGGAACACGGGCCAGACUCCUACGGGAGGCAGCAGUGAGGAAUAUUGCGCAAUGGGGGCAACCCUGAGCAGCGACGCCGCGUGAAGUGAGGAAGGCCUUGGUCGUAAAGCUCUGUC